rnacentral:lncRNA from 1 species
AGUUGACCAGUGUUGUCCGAAGUUAUUUACGUGCGCGAGGCGAGGAAUGUAACCGUCCGUGAGGUAAAAAAACAAGGUAAAAUAAUCGGCCUGUGUGUGAACUGUUCUUACUGAUUUUUAUAUACUUACAUUUAUUGGAUGAAGAGAAAGAGAGUGGGGGGUUGGGUACUUCCAAUAAAUCUUUGUUGGAGGUCUAAAGAAUUAAGGGUGGUUCAGUAAGUUACCUGUGGGACA